rnacentral:rRNA from 1 species
UACGUAGGGUCCGAGCGUUGUCCGGAGUUACUGGGCGUAAAGGGCGCGCAGGCGGCGGUGCUGGCCCGGCGUGAAAGCCCCCGGCUCAACCGGGGAGGGUCGUCGGGGACCGCACCGCUUGAGGGCGGUAGGGGCCGGUGGAAUGCCUGGUGUAGUGGUGAAAUGCGUAGAGAUCAGGCAGAACACCUGGGGCGAAGGCGGCCGGCUGGGCCGACCCUGACGCUGAGGCGCGAAGGCGUGGGGAGCGAACUGG